CAGAGGGUGCGAACGUUGCUCGGAAUUACUGGGCGUAAAGCGCGUGUAGGCGGACCGGUAAGUCAGAUGUGAAAUCCCUGGGCUCAACCCAGGAACUGCAUUUGAAACUGCUGGUCUAGAGUAUCGGAGAGGGUGGCGGAAUUCCUGGUGUAGAGGUGAAAUUCGUAGAUAUCAGGAGGAACACCGGUGGCGAAGGCGGCCACCUGGACGGUCACUGACGCUGAGACGCGAAAGCGUGGGGGAGCAAACAGGAUU
rnacentral:rRNA from 1 species